rnacentral:tRNA from 1 species
CGUGGCCGAGUGGUUAAGGCGAGAGAUUAGAAAUCUCUUGGAGUUUCUCCGCGCAGGUUCGAGUCCUGUCGGU